rnacentral:rRNA from 1 species
CCGUGCCCAAGAGAUCGGGAUAACACCUGGAAACAGAUGCUAAUACCGGAUAACAACAGAUGAUGCCUAUCAACUGUUUAAAAGAUGGUUCUGCUAUCACUCUUGGAUGGACCUGCGGUGCAUUAGCUAGUUGGUAGGGUAACGGCCUACCAAGGCGAUGAUGCAUAGCCGAGUUGAGAGACUGAUCGGCCACAUUGGGACUGAGACACGGCCCAAACUCCUACGGGAGGCAGCAGCG